AUCAAACGCAAGUGAAAAAGAAGAGGUUUCAUCAAAAAAAGCAGAAAAUGGAUCAAGUUAAUAUGCCUACUCGACCAUACUUGGAUGCUACAGUUGUGCCCAUUUUAUUGCAAGCACUAUCUGCUUUGGCUCGAGAAAGGCCUCAAGAUCCAAUACAGUUUCUAGCUGAUUUUCUUGUCAGAAAUAAAUCACAGUAUGCUCCUCAAACUGCAGAUGUGAAUGAAUAAUUCUACCUGCUCGACCCCAUCAAAUCAUUAUAUGCAAGUGUGUUUCCAAAGCUCAUUAUCCUCCAUUUCAGAGAUUCGUUUUUUUUUUCUCAUCUUUUAUAUAAUUGGGAUUCACAAGUUUUAUGAAAAAGAAUUAUUUAAACAUAAAUAACUUCAAAACAUGCAAACAUCAAAGUUCAAUAAUUUUGUGCAUUGAAAUUUUCUGUUAGCAAUUUAUUAUGUAUUUUCAUGUUUCAUGAAUUUGAAUUUAUUGUAUAUAUCUUACCUAUUGCUGUUAUGCAAUUUAAAGAUGUAGAAUAUGGUAGCGACCUUAAGUUAUUUGUUUGUGUGCAAAAGAUGUAUUUUUUUCCUUUUUUUGCAUUCAAUUUAAAUUCGACUCUUAUGUAAAAAGACCUAGUUAAAGCUUGUGUAAUUCAUUUGGGAAAAUAAAGUUAUUCUUAGGACAUGUGAAAA